rnacentral:rRNA from 1 species
GACGAACGCUGGCGGCGUGCCUAAUACAUGCAAGUCGAACGCAGUGGGGACGGGUGAGUUACACGUGGGUAACCUCCCAUCAGAGGGGAUAACACUUGGAAACAGGUGCUAAACCGAUACUGAUGGAUGAACCCGCGGUGCAUUAGCUAGUUGGGGAGGUAACGGCUCACCAAGGCCACGAUGAGUAGCCGACCUGAGAGGAUGAUCAGCCACACUGGAACUGAGACACGGCCCAGACUCCUACGGGAGGCAGCAGUAGGGAAUAUUCGGCAAUGGACGAAAGCCUGACCGAGCAACGCCGCGUGAGUGAAGAAGGUUUUCGGAUCGUAAAGCUCUGUAGGUAGAGAAGCGGUAUCUAACCAAAAAGCCACGGCUAACUACGUGCCAGCAGCCGCGGUAAUAC